AUUAUUAUUAAUGGUGUCUAAAAAAGGGAAAGAAACAAAAAAAUUUAAUAUUCUGAGCGGAUGACCUUAAGAGAGAGAUUGGAAGAGAGGGAGGGCUGGGAAAAUAGGAGAUGUCUGAGAGAUACCCUAGAAGAAAUUUGAAAUAGAAAAACAGAGCUGAGGAAAGAAAGAAAGACAAAUCAAAAAUUAAAUUGAAGUCAUAUGAUGAUAGUUCAGGGAGCAACCGAUGUGUAGAGAAGGAAAUGAGAUGCUGGAACUUUGGGGAACCCCAGAAUUAAGUGGUAGACAGGGGAAGAGGCAGUGAGGAGAGGUUGCUCAUGAAAGUUCAUACAUGUGGGAAAACCGUGAGACAGCCAUGAGACACUGAAGAUGGGAGUGGUUGCUCAAGCUUCAUGGUGAUAAAGAGACUGAAAAAAGUUCCUUAUGCCUGGCGAUUUGCAGAUUAUUAACCAACUAGAACAGCAGGGAAAAUAACUAGCUGCUAAAAGGUUGGUGGGGAGGGCUGGGAGGGCAGAGGAACCUGGGCUCAGCAGCAGUAAUGAGGGGAUUCUUUGAAGUCUGGGUGGGGGGAGGACCACCCUGGUAGGACACUCUAAAGUGUCAAGAUGAAGGGAGAAAGCAAGGGAAAGAGGCAGGGUCCUGAGGAGGGGUUCAGUGAGUCGGGUGAAAUUUGAAGGUGCCUAAAGAAAGCUAACAGGAAAAGCCUGAAGAAAAGAAGCAAGAUCACUGCUAAAAAAAAAA